CGCACGAAGGGUUUCGGGCCUUAGUGGCGGACGGGUGAGUAACGCGUAGGUAUCUAUCCAUGGGUGGGGGAUAACACUGGGAAACUGGUGCUAAUACCGCAUGACACCUGAGGGUCAAAGGCGUAAGUCGCCUGUGGAGGAGCCUGCGUUUGAUUAGCUAGUUGGUGGGGUAAAGGCCUACCAAGGCGAUGAUCAAUAGCUGGUUUGAGAGGAUGAUCAGCCACACUGGGACUGAGACACGGCCCAGACUCCUACGGGAGGCAGCAGUGGGGAAUAUUGGACAAUGGGGGCAACCCUGAUCCAGCAAUGCCGCGUGUGUGAAGAAGGUCUUCGGAUUGUAAAGCACUUUCGACGGGGACGAUGAUGACGGUACCCGUAGAAGAAGCCCCGGCUAACUUCGUGCCAGCAGCCGCGGUAAUACGAAGGGGGCUAGCGUUGCUCGGAAUGACUGGGCGUAAAGGGCGUGUAGGCGGUUUGUACAGUCAGAUGUGAAAUCCCCGGGCUUAACCUGGGAGCUGCAUUUGAUACGUGCAGACUAGAGUGUGAGAGAGGGUUGUGGAAUUCCCAGUGUAGAGGUGAAAUUCGUAGAUAUUGGGAAGAACACCGGUGGCGAAGGCGGCAACCUGGCUCAUUACUGACGCUGAGGCGCGAAAGCGUGGGGAGCAAACAGGAUUAG
rnacentral:rRNA from 1 species